rnacentral:rRNA from 1 species
UACGGAGGAUCCAAGCGUUAUCCGGAUUUAUUGGGUUUAAAGGGUGCGUAGGCGGGAGAUUAAGUCGGUGGUGAAAUUUUGCAGCUCAACUGUAAAAGUGCCAUUGAUACUGGUUUCCUUGAGUGUGGAUGAAGUAGGCGGAAUUUGUGGUGUAGCGGUGAAAUGCAUAGAUAUCACGAGGAACUCCGAUUGCGCAGGCAGCUUACUAAACCAUAACUGACGCUCAGGCACAAAGGCGUGGGGAUCAAACAGGAUUAGAUACCA